rnacentral:rRNA from 1 species
AUACGUAGGGUGCGAGCGUUGUCCGGAAUUACUGGGCGUAAAGAGCUCGUAGGUGGUUUGUCGCGUCGUCUGUGAAAUUCCGGGGCUUAACUCCGGGCGUGCAGGCGAUACGGGCAUAACUUGAGUACUGUAGGGGAGACUGGAAUUCCUGGUGUAGCGGUGAAAUGCGCAGAUAUCAGGAGGAACACCGGUGGCGAAGGCGGGUCGCUGGGCAGUAACUGACGCUGAGGAGCGAAAGCAUGGGUAGCGAACAGGAUUAGAUACCCUGGUAGUCCAUGCUGUAAACGGUGGGCGCUAGGUGUAGGGGUCUUCCACGACUUCUGUGCCGUAGCUAACGCAUUAAGCGCCCCGCCUGGGGAGUACGGCCGCAAGGCUAAAACUCAAAGGAAUUGACGGGG